AAGAAUGGGACAACCUAGAGUGACUUGUCCAUCUCAUUCAAGCAGCAGCAGCAACGGUGAGAAGGAGAGGGAGCUGAAGAUCCAAGAGGCUGAAGGAAUGUUACAAGAAGCAUGAGAUACCAGAGGGUGGAAACCUCUCAAGAGUUCAAUGGAGAGUUGAGAAGAGCCUUCAAGGGCAUAGAUGAAGUUGAAUGAAAGACACCCGAGCAUGCCAGGCUAUUCCUGGAAGACUGAAAGGCAGGGCUACUGAAAGGAGGCUGGCGCCCACCCCCUGAAUACCGAGAGAUGUGGAUUGGAUCCUCUCAGCCUCCUCUUCUCCUGAAUCCGGAAUUUAGCUGUUCAGAUGUGCUCAGCUUGGGUCCGUUUUGAAGUGAUUCACUUUCCUUCCCAAUAAACAAAUAUCUGUAUCUUAA